AGAAUGAACGCUGGCGGCGCGCCUAAUACAUGCAAGUCGAGCGAGAAGACGUAGCAAUACGUUUGUAAAGCGGCGAACGGGUGAGGAAUACAUGGGUAACCUACCCUCGAGUGGGGAAUAACUAGCCGAAAGGUUAGCUAAUACCGCGUACGCUCCUUGGACUUCGGUUCAGGGUAGGAAAGCGAUACCGUGGGUAUCGCGCUCUUGGUUGGGCUCAUGUCCUAUCAGCUUGUUGGUGAGGUAACGGCUCACCAAGGCUUCGACGGGUAGCUGGUCUGAGAGGACGAUCAGCCACACUGGCACUGCGACACGGGCCAGACUCCUACGGGAGGCAGCAGUAAGGAAUAUUGCGCAAGUGGGCGAAAGCCUGACGCAGCGACGCCGCGUGGGGAUGAAGGUCUUCGGAUUGUUAAACCCCGUUCGGGAAGGAAGAGUGGAACGAGACAAGUCGUCGGACGGUACCUCCGAGAAGCAGCCACGCUAACUUCGUGCCAGCACGCCG
rnacentral:rRNA from 1 species